CGUAGUUUCAUAACUGGAGUGCACAAGAAGGCUGUAUGCCUUGCUGCUGGACAAGGAAAGGUUCCAGAUAACAGUCUUUGGAAACAGUGUCAUGGAUGCACAGUGGCAAAAUGGAAACUGUGCUGAUCUUUGGAACCACAUAGGGCCACAGAGCUGGAGUGGAGACAACCCAGCCGGCACCGACCACAACCACAAGAGCCAGCAAGGUAAGCUGCAAAUAUAUUGAAGAGUAAAACAUUUAACUUCUCAGCUGAUUUCAUAAUUCUCUACUGAAAGUAUCUUAAGUUAGCUAUUCUAAAUAUGAAAAGGGAAAGUGAUUGUCAUUGAGUCAGCCAUCAAAGAAUACAUUUACUUGACUGUAUUUUUUACAAAAAUAAUAACUGUUUUUUUAAAGAAUCACAGACUGCCCUACAGAUGAUGUAUGUUCCUUCAACAUGUUAACUUGG